rnacentral:lncRNA from 1 species
UACUUCUUCAGAUGAUCUCCAAAGUUGCUUCGUGCCAAAGAUAUGAUCUACCCAUCUAGUGUGACACGCAUGGGCAUGGCCUUGAUCUGUAGCCUUGAACAACGCUGCGUAGUAUACACUACAAAUCUUUGUUUACUUCUCGCUUUCCUUUUGUCGUCCCUUUUGAUUUGUCCCUUUUGAUUGACAGAGCUUUUCAGUAGUUCUAGCUGUCAAUCAAAUUGCG